AACUUUUGAAUUUCAUUUCCUAGUUGGUGACCAUCAGCACAGUCCACCAUCAGAAGCGACCAUGCAGAGUCCACCCUCACAGGAGAUCACGCAGUC